ACGGCGUAGUAAUGCAUCGGAACGUACCCUCUGGUCGGGGAUAGCUACGGGAAACUGUAGGUAAUACCCGAUAAACUCUGCGGAGCAAAGGUGAGAUUCCGCCGGAGGAGCGGCUGAUGUGAUAUUAGCUAGUUGGUGGGGUAAUGGCUUACCAAGGCGAUGAUGUCUAGGGGGUGUGAGAGCAUGGCCCCCACGACCGGAACUGAGAUACUGUCCGGACACCUACGGGUGGCUGCAGUCGAGAAUCUUCCGCAAUGGACGAAAGUCUGACGGAGCGACGCCGCGUGCGGGAUGAAGGCCCUUGGGUUGUAAACCGCUGUCAGAGGGGAUGAAAUCUUCGGAGGUACUCCUCCGAAGUUGACAGAGCCUCAAAGGAAGCACGGGCUAAGUACGUGCCAGCAGCCGCGGUAACACGUACUGUGCGAACGUUAUUCGGAAUCACUGGGCUUAAAGGGUGCGUAGGCGGCGAAUCAAGUCAGGUGUGAAAGGCCUGAGCUCAACUGAGGCAUUGCGCUUGAAACUGAUUUGCUUGAGUAUCCCAGGGGUGUGCGGAACUGCCAGUGGAGCGGUGAAAUGUGUUGA
rnacentral:rRNA from 1 species